CCUCCUACUUUUACCAAUUUGCUUUUGCUUUCGUCAUAAUUAUACUUUGUCCUUCACCACCAUCACCACCAUGGUCAAUCUUCCAUUCUUCUUCCUCAACCUCAAAACCAACGUUUUUUGAACCCCACUUUGCCACAGACUUCCCACAAUAGAAAACACAGAGACUAGAGUCCAAUGCCACAGCCAGACAAGAAUUUAAGGUACACAAUACUCCAUUUAAAACAGGGGGAGGGGGCUGGUGGGGUUCAAACCCCAUUGCCAAGGCACUACAAGAGGAGCUGGAACUACAGGAGUAUCCCUUGAACCCUAGCUAUCUGAUUAACUUCAUUUUAAAUAAUAUGCAAUUAUUAAUCAUCAAAGAUGCUAAGUAAAGAAAAGCAAGUUGUAACUAUUUUAGUUGAUUUCAUCCAAGUCACUAUGAUUUCUUAGUUGAGUUCUGUUUUGCAUAGAUAGUCCUUCCCAAUUUUCAUGUGCCCACCCCAACCCCGUUUUCCUCUUUUUAUGGCCCCAGAAGCAAGGUAUUCCAUAUGCUAAAAUGGUAAUAACUGCUACUGCUAGACUAGUAUUAUUGGUUUCAUUCUUAAUAAAUACUGCAACUUCUAAUACUAUAUUUACAGUCCAAUAUAUGGCUUUAUCAUUAGUAGAGUCAAAAGUUCUACUUGUGCUUGAUAUUUGUGUUCAUAGACUGUAACCAUCGUUGCCAUCUCUAAUUGCACAAAAUACCACAACCACCAUUCACUUGAAAAAACAACAACAACAAAGCCCUAGUCCCAAAACUAUGAGGUCGGUAGUAGAUCCUUAACAAACUAAUUGGAAUCAUUCACAUGUAUUCUUUUUCACUAUUCUCUCCUAUAUAAAAUCAUACUCUUUGUCACCUCCUUAAUUAAGAUGUCCUUUAUUGAUGAACUACAUAUGCACCCAAUAGGUCUUGAACCCACGACCUCACCCAGUCAACCCUCUAGCCCAUUAUUAUGAUAGCUCAUUGGCUACUAGUAUUAUUUUAGGUCUUCCUAACUCUUUUUGUUCCCUCUCCUUGACAAAACAUACACUCAAAUUGUUUGGCUUAUAAUUAGUCUUAAAUCCUGACUAAUUCUUUAUAAUGUCUAUAUAGUGACUAUAAACUGCAGCUGAUGAGAAUCAGUAGACUCUUAGCUUUCUCCAGCCUUCUCUUCUACCCCUACUCCAUUCAAUAAGCCCCAGACCAUUAACUACUGUCAAUUUUUCUGCAGUCAACUUGAAAGUUGACAACCUUGCAAGUUUUACAACUAUUACUAAAUGAAUUAUUGAGACUUCUUUCUACUGCUGCUAUCGAAUGCCAUACCACCAACGGCAUUGUAUUGUUAGAAUCAUAGUUUUAGGAUAACUUACACUUUCUGAAAAUUUGGGGCUAGGAAUUCCUGCUGCUAAUGAUCUGAACAGUGGGGUUACUUGAAGAGGGGAACCAAAGUCUGUACUUGAUGAGACACAAACAACUCCAUCAUUGUUUGGUUGUUCAUCACAACACAUGAAAAUCCCUGCAAGAAGAUUAGAUAUUUUAUCAUUAAUUUUAACUUAGUCAGGUGAUGUCAUAUAUAAAAAUAAAAGAAAGCUUGUAGUUCCUUGUAUUCCAUAUAAGAUUUUAUUACCUUGCUUUGGGGUUGCUCCAGAAAUAACCCCAUUCUCACAUUCGCCAACAUCCUUUUGCUCUUCAAUAUGAAUUGAUUCUGACCCAGUUCCAAUAUCCUGAUGCAGUGAACAUAUCUCAGCAUGUCCUUGUUCCAGUUUGUUACUGGCUGAAUGCAACAGGAGAGUCGAUCCUGUACUGUAGUCAGAGCUACCAGGAGACUCAUCGUACAGAUCAGGUUGCCUAAACAAUAUUUAUAAACACUUAGAUGCUGAAACCAAAAGGGGGAAAAAUAUUAAAUUUGAAUAUUAGUUAAAACCAUAUGUACUACCUCCAGGAUUGAUGACUUCCCUCAUUACAACUUCUUAAGUCAUCUACCAAAUCUUUGAAAUCUUCAAGUUGAAGAUCAAUAUCAGGGAAUCUAUAAUUUAGAAUAUCACAUUCUUUGCUUCGGUUCAGGAAAUCUUGCAGAGCCUGAAAUAAUAUUUGAUAAA